rnacentral:rRNA from 1 species
UACGGAGGGUGCGAGCGUUAAUCGGAAUUACUGGGCGUAAAGCGUGCGUAGGUGGUUGUUUAAGUCAGAUGUGAAAGCCCCGGGCUUAACCUGGGAACGGCAUUUGAUACUGGGCAGCUGGAGUUUGGAAGAGGAGAGUGGAAUUUCAGGUGUAGCGGUGAAAUGCGUAGAUAUCUGAAGGAACACCAGUGGCGAAGGCGACUCUCUGGUCUAAAACUGACGCUGAGGCACGAAAGCAUGGGGAGCAAACAGG